CGUCCUCAGCGACGGACC
rnacentral:snRNA from 1 species